CUUGUGUGAUUCCCGGCUUACCCUGCCUUUUUCGGGUCAUUGGGUUGGUGUGGAGUUGUUCGCCAUAUUUUUAACGUUUCACCUAUCAUUGCAGCGCACUGUUAUUGAUCUGCUGCGAAGCAACGAACCGCAACGGCAGUUACUCGCCUCAGUGAAAUUCUGUCUGCUGCAUAUCCAAGGCUCAUCGGGACCUUAUGAUGUACUGCAAAUGCUGAAGUUGAAUUCUUCAUCUAAAGAAAACAAGUGUGUUCUCGUGUGGUUCUGACGGAAAAGCAGUUUCAACAAGAACCCUCCGCUUCUUGAACCCAGUUAUACUUUACGUAACCCUUCUGAUGGCUCCUUACUCGGCUGUGCCGCUCUGAAGCAUUGAGAUGACGAAAGGUCGUGGGUGCUGCACCUCUGCUUUCGAAAGAUGAAUCAGUCAUUCCACACUGUACUUACUGGCUUUGUAUCGAGUCUGACAAAUCCGACAGACCUGGACUGCCUUUUUCAAGGAAGUUCGAUAAUAGCAUCCCUGAUGCAUCUGCAUUUCAAUUAGGAUCUGCGUUACAAGAAUGACGGACCACUCAACAGCGAUGAACAUUUGAAGGUGGAAGUGCUGGAACAAAGAUGCGUUAAUCUGUGUCAAAGGUGCUUUGAAAGGGCAUAGGUCACAAGCUAAUUUCUGCCUGCAGAAGAGGCAUCAACUAUGCUCCUUCUAUCUAUACUAACCAGCUCCACUUUUUAGGGUUCCCUGUAAACUAAUGGAGCACAUCAUAUACCAGCACUUUGUUAACCAUGUUGAGUCUAUCAAUUUCUUUUUUAAAUUCUAGCAUGGCUGUAGAAAAGGGUAUUUACGCAUAACUAAGAAAAUUCGGUCACAGCAUUUUAAACUGUCUUGAUUUCUGGGUCCACGUAGAUGCAGUACUUUUAUUUUGUAAGGGCUUUUGACAGUGUGCUUUAUGCUCGCGUGUUGGCCAGACUAGCCUCAUUAAAAUUUGAUCCUGCUACCAUUAACUGGAUAUGCAGUUUCUUGACUAACCGCAACCGUGCCAACAAUUCACUUGGCAAUAUCCUAUCAUAUCGCCUGUCAUACCUAUCACAGGAGAGAACCUAUCA